AUAAAAAAAAAAAUAAAUAAACUUAAUAAAAAAACAACUGCUAAAAACUAAAAUGGGUGGAAAGAAAGAUCAAGGAAAGAAACAAGAACAAGCUAAGACCAAGGAUGAAGCUCCCAAGUAAGAGCAACAUGCUGAUGGUAAAGAAGCUAACAAGAAGGCUGACAAGAAGAAGAAGUGAUAGUCAUUUUCUAAAAUGACAACUCAUUCUUUAUAAACUGAUUAACUUUAUAAUAAAAUAAUAAAGAAUAUAAAUCUUGUCAAUAGCAAUUUAUAUUACUACUUUAUAUUUGUAUUAUUUUUUUAAUU
rnacentral:scRNA from 1 species